rnacentral:tmRNA from 1 species
GCCUCUUCCAUUCCCGGCGGGAGCGCCUAUAUCGAUUCCUGCCGGGUUCGCCCGGCUAUGGCGAUAAAUGAUGUCGUGGAAUAGAUGCAGCGGACCCGGGGGCAGUACCCGGCGGCUCCACCAUGAUCGGCCUUCGGGCCGGUCCUGACGGGGCCGAACCAGGAUCGACGUGUGUUCAAAGACGAUGUUUUCGCCCGGCCUGAAUGCGCCGUAAAACCGUUCGAACCUACAAGUGCCAACGACAACGAGGCGCUCGCUCUUGCCGCGUAACUGAGUCCUCACGGACAAGGUUAUGUAGUCAUUAGCGCGGUUCGGGCCGCACCGGGCAACAGAAGCGGAUUCCG